rnacentral:tRNA from 1 species
UGCUUGGGUAGCUCAGUUGGUAGAGCAAUUGCCCUCGAAAGGCAAGUCCCGAGUUCGAGUCUCGGUCCGGCAC